rnacentral:rRNA from 1 species
GACGAACGCUGGCGGCGUGCCUAACACAUGCAAGUCGAGCGGGGUUGAGGCGAGAGGUAACUCGAACUUCUACCUAGCGGCGGACGGGUGAGUAACGCGUGGGCAACCUGCCUCAAGGUUUGGGAUAACAGCCCGAAAGGGCUGCUAAUACCGGAUAUGCCUAUGGCCUCGCAUGGGGCUAUGAGCAAAGGGGAAACCCGCCUUGAGAUGGGCCCGCGUCCCAUCAGCUAGUUGGUGAGGUAACAGCUCACCAAGGCGACGACGGGUAGCCGGCCUGAGAGGGUGACCGGCCACACUGGGACUGAGACACGGCCCAGACUCCUACGGGGGGCAGCAGUGGGGGAUCUUGCACAAUGGGCGAAAGCCUGAUGCAGCGACGCCGCGUGAGCGAAGAAGGCCUUCGGGUUGUAAAGCUCUGUCUGGAGGGACGAACAAAAUGACGGUACCUCCGGAGGAAGCCACGGCUAACUACGUG